rnacentral:lncRNA from 1 species
GGAGGCGAAGAGGCGGGGAUGGGCGGCGCUGUGGCCGUUCUCGAGGUCGGCGGCGGCGGCGGCGGCGGCGGAGGCGGAGGGGGUGAAGUUGUCGAGAUGGAGAUCAGGUUCCGGAGGUGGAAGAGAGGGGAAAGGCAAGGGGCGGCAUUGGCACUUUCUAAGCCCGAUGAAAGCUUUUGGGUUAAGAUAGAGAGAACGGAAGAGAGCUAGAGAGAGAGUAGGGGAGAGGAGGAGAGAGAGAGAGAGAGAGCAAGAAGGAGAGGAUUUUCUUGGGAAAGAGGAUUUUCUUGGGAAAGAAAGAGCUGUUGGAGGUUAGGGUUUUUGGGUGCUUAAAGUAUUACACCAAAAGACGUCAAGUUUGGAACGCUCAACAGUGUUACCUUCAGCGUAAGAAACCCUAAAUUUAAUAAAUAAGCUAAUUGGGCUCCAGAGAUAUGGGCCUUAAUACGCUUUCACUUAUUGGGCUUGUAUGUGAACAUAUUAUUUGGAUUAUAUUAUAACAAAAUAUCCAAUAACAAUAUAUCCAACAAUCUCUUCCUAUGUUCACUAUACAGUACAAUCCAAUACAGUGGUCAGUGUAAUGUUCAAACAAUUAUGAAUCAUCCACAUUCAGUCCAAGACAAUCAACUCAGAUUAAAAACUCAAUCAUCAAUUGUAAUUCAAAUGAGUGAAUCAUUCUUAUCAUGAAUCUGUUCUGAGAUCGACAUAUCCAAAAUGAUUCUCAAAAUCAGUUCACAACCAACAUAUGCAUAACGGUCAAAUAUAAGUAGGCCAGUCAAAAUAAUCCAAGGCCUUACAAAUAAAAGAAAAAGACAUAAUAAUAUUCACAAAUAUAGAUAGCCAAAAACAAGUCUUAAGUAAAUGGACUCCAUCAAAACAGGUAAUAGUAGGUGAACUGUCAAGUUCCCGUACACUCUAAAUGAUAUAUAUAUUCAUUCAUCAAAUAGAUCAUCCUGAUCUGGAUCUCACUUAUUAAGCUCUCCUCCAUCCCUGCCAUCCUCUGUAGAAUAUCAAAUAUAAAUUUCAUAUUAUCAUGAAUUUAAUCAUUUGAAUAAUCCACUAAAAAUGUCUAGUUCUACUAAAAGAACUUAGCAUCAUAACAUCAGGCAGAGAAGAAUAUAUAUUAAUGUCAUAAAGCAUCAUAAUAUCAUGUUCACAAGUAUCAAGCCAGUUUCAUAAAUUAUGAAUAAAGCCUAAAUAGUUUGAUUUAUAAAGAGCCAUCAACUUAAGUUUAUUUGUAAGAGAAUAAUCAUUGUCUAGUUUCAAAGAACAUGACCAAAACCAACAGACUUCUUAUGCAUAUAGCUAUUUCUAUGUUUCAAUUUGGAAUGUCACAGUUACUAAUUCUUUUAAGUCAAAUAAUCUAGCAUCAAGUUUGGAAUGAGAUCAUUUAACUAAGAAAAGAAUAGUCCAGCCUAGUUGGAUUGUAUCAUCAAGUUUGGAAUGACACAAGCCUUCCAGGUAGAACUUUGAACUAGGUUAAAGUCAUUUUCAUCAAGUUUGGAAUGAAACAACUCACCUUUUUCAAAUUAGUCCGCAACCAUGAACAUCGAUGAAACAUAUAAAUUGUGCUUGACCACCAAAGGAAGGAAGAUUCGAUAAUUCAAAACAUACAAUUAGAAAGUAAGUAAAUGGUAAUUAAGACUAAUUUACAUAGUCUUUAACCCCAUUUCCCCCACUGUUUUGAAUAAUCGAUCUUUAGUCAUACCUUUUGUGAGAGUAUCGGCCAUGUUAUCCUUCGAUCUCACAUCGAUCAAGGUGAUAACCCCUUGUUCUCUCAGAUAAUUCAACAACGCAUGUCUCAGUCUCACAUGUCUUCUCUUUGAAUUAAAGAAAGCAUUUUUGACAACUUGGACAGCUGCUUGAUUAUCACAGAACAGGCUUAAAGAAUUAAUCUGUAGCCGAGUCAAAGGAAUAUCCAAAAUCAGAUUCUUUAUCCAUUCUGCUUCUUCGCCAGCGGAAGCUAAAGCAAAAAGUUCCGAUUCCAUAGACGACAAGGCAAUACAAGUCUGUCUUUUGGAUUUCCAAGUAAUAGCAGCUCCACCCAAAGUGAAUACAUAUCCACUUGUGGACUUACUAUUUCCAAUUUCUGAGCACCAUGAGGCAUCAGAAUAUCCAUCCACAGUUGGAGGAUAACCAGAAUAACAUAGAGCAUAAUCUUUCGUACCUUUAAGGUAUCUCAUCAGCCUACUAAGGGCAUCCCAAUGCUCUUUACUAGGAUUACUAGUGAAACGACUCAGCAUGCCAACUGUAAAGGCGAUGUCGGGUCUAGUGCAACUCAUAGCAUACAUGAGACUACCAAUCAGUUUUGAGUACUUUAAUUGAUCCACACUGGUCCCUUCAUUAGGACUCAGUCUUUUAUUAUAAUCACAUGGUGUCUCACUCGGUUUACAAUCACUGUAUCCCCAGGUAGAAAGUAGCUGCUCAAUAUAAUGAGUCUGGCUAAGGGAGAUGACUUGCCUUUCAAAUCUUACUUUCAUACCAAGAAUGGUAUUAGCAAUACCAAGAUCUUUCAUGUCAAAUUCUUUAGCUAAAGUAGCUUUCACGUCACUCACUACAGAAUGAUCGGAGCCAAGAAUUAACAUGUCAUCAACAUAUAAGCAAAUGAUGACUAUCUUAUUUGACACAGAACGAUGGUAAAGGCAUUUAUCUGAAUAGCUAGACUGAAAGCCAUAACUCUUUACCACUUUGUCAAAUUUAAGAUGCCACAUCUUAGGUGCUUGUUUAAGACCGUACAAAGAUUUAUUCAAUUUACAAACUUUGUCCUCAAGACCUUUCAUGACAUACCCUUCAGGUUGUUCCAUGUAGAUUUCUUCAUUUAACUCUCCAUUUAGAAAAGCUGUUUUUACAUCCAUUUGAUGCACUACAAAGUGUUCAAUAGAUGCCAAAGCAAGAAGAAUUCUUAUAGUUGAUAGAUGACACACAGGUGAAUAAACAUCAAAAUAGUCUAUUCCACUCUGCUGUUUAUAGCCUUUAGCUACUAAGCGUGCUUUGUAUCUGGCUAUUGAUCCAUCACUAUUCAGUUUCUUUUUCAAUACCCACUUACAGCCUAUAGCCUUAGCCCCUUUAGGCAAAUUGACUAGCUGCCAAGUGUGGUUCUGCAACAGAGAGCUCAUUUCAUCAUCUAUGGCUUCUGCCCACAGUAGGGAUUCCCUAGAUCUCAUUGCUUCUUGAUAAGAAAAUGGAUCAUCCUCGAGAUGGUAAGUAACAAAAUUCUCACCAAAACUUUUGGGAACUCUCUCUCUUGUAGAUAUUCUAACUGGAACUGAUUCAAUAGCCAAUUGUGUGGGAUUAGUGUCAGAAGGGCCUGCUUCAGAUUCUACAGGAGAUUCUGAAAUCAUAUCUGUAGAUCCAGAAACAUUCAAGCCAUGAUCUCUGAGAAACUUAUUCUCAAAGAAUUCUGCAUCUCUAGAUUCUAUCACUGUGUUAGUAGAUAGAUCUAAAAACCUAUCUGCAGCACUAUCUUCUGCACUGCCUAGAUAUACACAGGUAAUGGUUCUAGGUCCCACCUUAGGCCUCUUUGGAUCUUGUAUUCUUACAUAAGCAAUACAGCCCCAGGUCUUAAGAGUAUCAUAUCUACAAGGAUGCUUAUGCCAUAUCUCAUAAGGUGUCAUAGACAACUUAGAGUGUGGCAACCUGUUCAGGAUGUGAUUAGCAGUCAGAACUGCUUCUCCCCAAUAGGAGGAAGGCAUGCCAGCUGUAAGUAACAUAGAAUUUAACAUUUCAGUUAACGUUCUAUUCUUACGCUCAGCAACACCAUUUGAUUGGGGUGAGUAAGGAGCAGUGGUUUCAAGUAUUAUGCCCUCUGAAGCACAAAAUUCCUUGAACCCUGUCAUUGUAUAUUCUCCUCCUCUAUCACUCCUAAACCUCUUAAUUUUCAUGUUGAGUUGAUUUUCUACUCUAGAUUUGAAAAUUUUAAACUUUUCAAAAGCCUCAUCUUUCGAUUUCAACAAAUAGACAUGACAAUAUCUAGAAAAAUCGUCUAUGAAUGUUAUCAAAUACUUUCGACCACCUCUAGUGACGUAAUUUCUAAAAUCACAAAGAUCAGAAUGUAUUAGCUCAAGAAGUUGUGUGCUUUUAGAAACCAUCUUAAAAGGUUUUCUAGUGAUCUUAGCUUGUGCACACACUUCACAUUUGUCAAAUCGAAUAGAAGUAUCCAAUGGAAUGUUGUGAGUUUUAGCUAGAAGUUGCAUUUUCCUGUAGUUCACAUGUCCAAGUCUAUUGUGCAACAACUUUGGAUCAAUCAGAAUAGAACUCACAUGGUUUAUGCUAUCAGUAUCUAAACUCAACCUAUACAUACCAUUAACCAUGAAUGCACAACCAAAAUAACAUGAGUUAACUGAUAAGGUUACUCUACCAUUCAUAGUUGAAAAGGACAUACCAGCUUUAUCAAGUAAGCUCAUAGAUAUCAAAUUCUUUUUAAGUAAAGGUACUACUCUAACAUGUUUCAGAGUUAGUAAUUUACCUGAAGAAAGCACCAAAUUUGCAGUUCCAGUAUGAGUCACUUCUGCCUCACCACCAUUGCAAUUUUCCACGGUGUCUUUCACUUCUGUGACCUCUGUGAGUAGGUUCUUGUCAUUUGCAGCAUGACAAGUAGCGCCACUAUCCAACCACCACUCAGUAGAAAUACUAGCCUUUCCAAUUUUCAUCAUUCCAAUGAAAGCUUGAGGCUCAGAUUCACUAGUUAGCAUAUUAGCCUCACUUUGUGGUGUGUUAUUCUUUGGCUUCUUUGGUAGUCUACACUCUGCUGCCCAGUGACCCCAUUUUCCACAGUUAUGGCACUUUCCUUUCUUUUUCUUUUUGGAGAUAGUCUUUUUGACCUCUAGCUGUGAAGAAGAUUCACCUUUUGGUGACUUGGAUCUUUUCUGAGGUUUAUUGAAGUGUGAAACUAAGUUGGCAACUGACUUUUGUUGUCCUACUUGUUCUAAAUUCUUUCUAGUACUGUUUUGAUCCUCAAUGUGAAUAUACCUCUUUAAUUCAUCCAGUCCCAUCUGUUCUUUCAAUCUGUGCAUUUCAGUCUUGAAAGAAUUCCAUUCAGCAGGUAACUUACUCAAUACAAGACCAACAAAGAGAUUAUCAGACAUAUCAGAUUUAUCAUCUUUCAGCUUGUUCCUCAUGUUCUCAAGUUCAAUUAAUUGAGAGGUGAUACUUGAAUUCAUAUUGAACUUAAAGUCAAAAAAUUUCUCCGCUAGAAGAGUUUUAGAAAGCCCCUCUUGUUUUUGGAACUGAGCGUUCAAGUGAUCCCGUAUCUCUUUCGCUGUCUUAUUCUCACUAUAAGUCGUAGCUAGACGACGAUUUAAAGAGUUCAACAAGUAAUCUCUACAGAAAUUUUCAUCCUUGUUCCAUUGAUAUUCAUCCACAUUUUCAAUGGUAGAUGAAAAAUCACUCAAAACAGUGUAGAAUAUUUCACGUUCUUUCAUGCCAAAUUGAACAUAUAAUUUCCAACCAUGAAAUUCAGUAACAUCAAAUAAUUGCAAUUUUAUAAUAUCAAAAGAACUACGCUUUGCCAUUUAAUCAGAGCAAAGUGUUAGAAAGAGUGCACCUUGUAGUCCGCAGAUCUCGCAAAAUCGAAUAAAGCCCCUGAUCUGAAUCAAAGUGCUUUGUAGAGGUGGAAUUUGCCAAAAACAAACCCAAAAUUGGAUCCGUAGCGCCCAAAAACCUUAAGAUGAACUGCCCUCGUCGCCGGAAACUGCUGAAAACUUUCGAUGGUCGUAACUUCGUCGUCCGACCUCCGUUCGAGACGAGUAACCACUCAAAACGUUCGUAUCGAUGAGUAGAACAGAACCCAAGUGGUUUCACCCUCUGAAAUUGGCUAUAAUUUCUGGAUUUUUUGAAUCAAAGAAUUCCGCCGCCUGACCUUCAAACUCAGAUCCCGGCCAAUCCGAUCGUCGAAAUCGAAAAUAAAUUAUACCGGUGAAUUCGUCUUGACGAGAUCUUCGAAUCGACACCUUACUCGCUCAAAUCCAACAUAGGAUCGUAAUACUUUAAGAUUGUUGGAGGUUAGGGUUUUUGGGUGCUUAAAGUAUUACACCAAGAGACGUCAAGUUUGGAACGCUCAACAGUGUUACCUCCAGCGUAUGAAACCCUAGAUUUAAUAAAUAAGUUAUUGGGCUCCGGAAAUAUGGGCCUUAAUAUGCUUUCACUUAUUGGGCUUGUAUGUGAACAUAUUAUUUGGAUUAUAUUAUAACAAAAUAUUCAAUAACAAUAUAUCCAACAAGAGCUGCCUUGAAACAUUUCAAGAAUAUCUUGGAAAAAAGAGAGGCUUGAAACAUUUCAAGAAUAUCUUGGAAAAAAGAGAGGAUUUUCUUGAAAAUGAGCUGGUCUCCAGCCUUGGGAAAGAGCCAAGAAAAUAAGUGAUUGUCAUUUUUUAUUCGUUGAAAAAUG